AACGAACGCUGGCGGCAUGCCUAACACAUGCAGGUCGAACGAGACCUCCGGGUCUAGUGGCGCACGGGUGCGUAACGCGUGGGAACCUGCCCUUAGGUUCGGAAUAACUCCCCGAAAGGGGUGCUAAUACCGGAUAAUGUCUUCGGACCAAAGAUUUAUUGCCUUUGGAUGGGCCCGCGUUGGAUUAGCUAGUUGGUAGGGUAAAAGCCUACCAAGGCGACGAUCCAUAGCUGGUCUGGGAGGAUGAUCAGCCACACUGGGACUGAGACACGGCCCAGACUCCUACGAGAGGCAGCAGUGGGGAAUAUUGGACAAUGGGCGAAGGCCUGAUCCAGCAAUGCCGCGUGAGUGAUGAAGGCCGUAGGGUUGUAAAGCUCUUUUACCCGGGAUGAUAAUGACGGUACCGGGAGAAUAAGCUCCGGCUAACUCCGUG
rnacentral:rRNA from 1 species